rnacentral:misc_RNA from 1 species
AAGUCGUAACAAGGUUUCCGUAGGUGAACCUGAGGAAGGAUCAUUAACACGUAUCCACGUUUAUAACCCGAGAACUUCUUAGGUAGCUUAUUCGAGAAACCCUACUCCUUAGCUUAGCGGCCAAGGUUAGGGUGAAUUGAAUAUUGCUCCUUCGAUAUCCUUCAGGGACAAAUCUUCGGAGGCGUCCCUGAGGGCUACUUGAAACCCCUUUCCGUCUCUUUGUAGACCGCUUUUCCCCGAAUGCUGUACAACUCUUAGCAACGGAUAUCUUGGUUCUG